CCUCUCACUUAUGGUAUCAAAAAUCAAAACCAUGCUUAAAUGUAUUAGUCAACGCAUUGAAAUAUGCAGGGGGAUGUCCAUCAACUAUUCUACGUGGUUUUCUUGAUCCAGCUGGCAUUCUGCACCUUGGGAGAUAGUAUUUACGGCAUUAUAUUCCUUAAAUACACAGGAAAAUUAGCAGUUUCAGGCACUUUAGAAGAAACUUGAAGAGGAGGAGAAAAGAAGUGCAAAACGAAAA